rnacentral:ribozyme from 1 species
UGGCAAGCUUGGAUGAGGGAGGGUCCACCCCUGCCGGCUUGAAAGCAAAGGAGCUAUACUAUGAGAUCCUGAACGGCAAAGGGACCACCAAGGCUUAUGCUGAAGAUGACAACGAAGAGGCGGAAAAGAACCACUCGAAGAAGUU